UGGGCAGCUGAGGGGAAGCCAGUACAAGAAGAUGAUGACCAAAGAAGAACUGGAGGAGGAACAGAGGCCCAGCUGGAGGGGGCAUCCCCUGACCACACCUCUGUGCUACGUCUGAUGCUGGGGCUUGCAGAGGCUGCUCAGGCUGGCUUCGCCCUCCUGUCUCUGGGUUCUGGAGAGAAGAUAGCUACGAGACAGAACUGGACCCAGCCGAAUUUGGGGGAGCGGCCCUAGAACCUGUCCCCUGAGAAAUAGCACGAGUGCAGAGCUGGUGAGAUGGCUCAGCAAAUAAAAGUGCUUGCUGCCAAACCCUGCUGCCUGCCGACCUGAGUCCGAUCCUCAAACUAGUUCGAUAAAUAGGGAGAGCCCAGUGGUAUGAAUUGUCCCCCGAGUUCCACAGGCACACAUCCACAACAUACAUACUCUUGAAUCCGCGCAAAACGAAUAAAAUGUAAUAAUUAAUAAU
rnacentral:lncRNA from 1 species